AGAGUUUGAUCCUGGCUCAGAUUGAACGCUGGCGGCAUGCUUUACACAUGCAAGUCGGACGGCAGCACAGAGAAGCUUGCUUCUCGGGUGGCGAGUGGCGAACGGGUGAGUAACAUAUCGGAACGUACCGAGUAGUGGGGGAUAACUGAUCGAAAGAUCAGCUAAUACCGCAUACGUCUUGAGAGAGAAAGCAGGGGACCUUUGGGCCUUGCGCUAUUCGAGCGGCCGAUAUCUGAUUAGCUAGUUGGUGGGGUAAAGGCCUACCAAGGCGACGAUCAGUAGCGGGUCUGAGAGGAUGAUCCGCCACACUGGGACUGAGACACGGCCCAGACUCCUACGGGAGGCAGCAGUGGGGAAUUUUGGACAAUGGGCGCAAGCCUGAUCCAGCCAUGCCGCGUGUCUGAAGAAGGCCUUCGGGUUGUAAAGGACUUUUGUCAGGGAAGAAAAGGCUGUUGCUAAUACCAGCGGCUGAUGACGGUACCUGAAGAAUAAGCACCGGCUAACUACGUGCCAGCAGCCGCGGUAAUACGUAGGGUGCGAGCGUUAAUCGGAAUUACUGGGCGUAAAGCGGGCGCAGACGGUUACUUAAGCAGGAUGUGAAAUCCCCGGGCUCAACCGGGAACUGCGUUCUGAACUGGGUGACUCGAGUGUGUCAGAGGGAGGUAGAAUUCCACGUGUAGCAGUGAAAUGCGUAGAGAUGUGGAGGAAUACCGAUGGCGAGGCAGCCUCCUGGGACAACACUGACGUUCAUGCCCGAAAGCGUGGGUAGCAAACAGGAUUAGAUACCCUGGUAGUCCACGCCCUAAACGAUGUCAAUUAGCUGUUGGGCAACUUGAUUGCUUAGUAGCGUAGCUAACGCGUGAAAUUGACCGCCUGGGGAGUACGGUCGCAAGAUUAAAACUCAAAGGAAUUGACGGGGACCCGCACAAGCGGUGGAUGAUGUGGAUUAAUUCGAUGCAACGCGAAGAACCUUACCUGGUCUUGACAUGUACGGAAUCCUCCAGAGACGGAGGAGUGCCUUCGGGAGCCGUAACACAGGUGCUGCAUGGCUGUCGUCAGCUCGUGUCGUGAGAUGUUGGGUUAAGUCCCGCAACGAGCGCAACCCUUGUCAUUAGUUGCCAUCAUUCAGUUGGGCACUCUAAUGAGACUGCCGGUGACAAGCCGGAGGAAGGUGGGGAUGACGUCAAGUCCUCAUGGCCCUUAUGACCAGGGCUUCACACGUCAUACAAUGGUCGGUACAGAGGGUAGCCAAGCCGCGAGGCGGAGCCAAUCUCACAAAACCGAUCGUAGUCCGGAUUGCACUCUGCAACUCGAGUGCAUGAAGUCGGAAUCGCUAGUAAUCGCAGGUCAGCAUACUGCGGUGAAUACGUUCCCGGGUCUUGUACACACCGCCCGUCACACCAUGGGAGUGGGGGAUACCAGAAGUAGGUAGGGUAACCGCAAGGGGUCCGCUUACCACGGUAUGCUUCAUGACUGGGGUGAAGUCGUAACAAGGUAGCCGUAGGGGAACCUGCGGCUGGAUCACCU
rnacentral:rRNA from 1 species